rnacentral:sRNA from 1 species
CUUCCAUUCCAUGUACCACGCUACAUGUGGAUAUUUUUACUUCAUAUACGACUUGGGAUCAAAUUCGGCCAAAGGAUGCACUGCUGCACAAAUGCUGUUGAAUAAGUAAAUGGCGACUCCAUUCGAUACGCAUGUGCUCGUUGUUCCACUCAUGCCUCUAUUGUGAGACUGAGGACUGGACCUAUUUUGGCUGCGGCGCACAUUACCAAUGCCGUUAGAGAAGGCCGGGCCAAGUUGCACUCCACAGGGUUUCAUUCUAUCUGGGCGUCGACCAAUUAUUCUAUCACAUCUUCCAAGCCAGCCACUCUUGGUAUAGCUUCUAGCCGAUAAAGAUUUCGUAUUUACCCCAGUGAUGAUUUUUGCCCAAGCGAGGAAUGCAUUGUGAAACCGGCAGGCUUCUUCUAGCUUAUUACGACAUACAGAAUCCAUUCCGCGAAGAAAAAGUCCUUUUGCUUCGGGUGGCCUGACAAAGGUCAAAGGGGGUUUUGAGGAUGCUGCUAGCAGCGCCACGUUUCCUGUUUUGCCAAAGAAUUAUCACACCCCUGAUAGAGUGACAUUUUUAGCUGCUCUGGCG